rnacentral:rRNA from 1 species
GCGAGUGAAGCGGCAAAAGCUCAAAUUUGAAAUCCCCCCGGGGAGUUGUAAUUUGAAGAUUGCGUCUUGGAGGCGACCGUGUCUAUGUUCCUUGGAACAGGACGUCACAGAGGGUGAGAAUCCCGUGCGGCACGGCCCCCGGCUCCUUAUAAGGCGCUCUCGACGAGUCGAGUUGUUUGGGAAUGCAGCUCAAAGUGGGUGGUAAAUUCCAUCUAAAGCUAAAUACAGGCGAGAGACCGAUAGCGAACAAGUACAGUGAUGGAAAGAUGAAAAGCACUUUGAAAAGAGAGUGAAACAGCACGUGAAAUUGUUGAAAGGGAAGGGCAUGCCGUCAGAUUGUCAGUGUGGGUAAGAAGCGGGGUACAAAGACUGUGGAACGUGGCCCUCGGGUGUUAUAGCCGCAGUUCAUGCCCCGUCUCUUUCCGAGGCCUGCUUUGAGGACACCGACGUAAUGACGGUACGCCGCCC